GUAGGUGGCAAGCGUUGUCCGGGAAUUAUUGGGGCGUAAAGCGCGCGCAGGCGGUCCUUUAAGUCUGAUGUGAAAGCCCACGGGCUCAACCGUGGAGGGUCAUUGGAAACUGGGGGACUUGAGUGCAGAAGAGAAGAGUGGAAUUCCACGUGUAGCGGUGAAAUGUGUAGAGAUGUGGAGGAACACCAGUGGCGAAGGCGACUCUUUGGUCUGUAACUGACGCUGAGGCGCGAAAGCGUGGGGAGCAAACAGGAUUAGAUACCCUGGUAGUCCACGCCGUAAACGAUGAGUGCUAAGUGUUAGAGGGUUUCCGCCCUUUAGUGCUGCAGCAAACGCAUUAAGCACUCCGCCUGGGGAGUACGGCCGCAAGGCUG
rnacentral:rRNA from 1 species